AUACGUAGGGGGCGAGCGUUGUCCGGAAUGAUUGGGCGUAAAGGGCUCGUAGGCGGCGCGGUAAGUCUGGAGUGAAAGUCCUGCUUUCAAGGUGGGAAUUGCUUUGGAUACUGCCGCGCUUGAGUGCGGGAGAGGUUAUCGGAAUUCCCGGUGUAGCGGUGAAAUGCGUAGAGAUCGGGAGGAACACCAAUGGCGAAGGCGGGUAACUGGACUGGAACUGACGCUGAGGCGCGAAAGUGUGGGGAGCAAACAGGAUUAGAUACCCUGGUAGUCCACACUGUAAACGAUGAAUGCUAGGUGUAGGAGGUAGCGACCCCUUCUGUGCCGCAGUAAACACAGUAAGCAUUCCGCCUGGGGAGUACGGUCGCAAGAUUAAAACUCAAAUGAAUUGACGGGG
rnacentral:rRNA from 1 species